rnacentral:sRNA from 1 species
AGCUUUGGGAAACUGGAGCUCUAGUGGCAAACGGGUGAGUAACACGUGGGUGACCUACCUCAAAGUGGGGAAUAACAGACCGAAAGGUUAGCUAAUACCGCAUGUGCUCGGUGGUUCAGUCUGCCGAGUAAAGUCGCAAGGCGCUUUGAGAGGGGCCCGCGGCCCAUCAGGUAGUUGGCGAGGUAAUGGCUCACCAAGCCGAUGACGGGUAGCUGGUCUGAGAGGACGAUCAGCCACACUGGCACUGAGACACGGGCCAGACUCCUACGGGAGGCAGCAGUGGGCCCACUCCUACGGGAGGCAGCAGUGGGACUCCUACGGGGGGCAGCAGUGGGACAGUUGGCUUAG